rnacentral:rRNA from 1 species
GGUUAAGCGACUAAGCGUACACGGUGGAUGCCCUGGCAGUCAGAGGCGAUGAAGGACGUGCUAAUCUGCGAAAAGCGUCGGUAAGGUGAUAUGAACCGUUAUAACCGGCGAUGUCCGAAUGGGGAAACCCAGUGUGAUUCGUCACACUAUCGUUAACUGAAUACAUAGGUUAACGAGGCGAACCGGGGGAACUGAAACAUCUAAGUACCCCGAGGAAAAGAAAUCAACCGAGAUUCCCCCAGUAGCGGCGAGCGAACGGGGAGCAGCCCAGAGUCUGAAUCAGCUUGUGUGUUAGUGGAACGGUCUGGAAAGUCCGACGGUACAGGGUGAUAGUCCCGUACACCAAAAUGCACAGGCUGUGAACUCGAAGAGUAGGGCGGGACACGUGGUAUCCUGUCUGAAUAUGGGGGGACCAUCCUCCAAGGCUAAAUACUCCUGACUGACCGAUAGUGAACCAGUACCGUGAGGGAAAGGCGAAAAGAACCCCGGCGAGGGGAGUGAAAAAGAACCUGAAACCGUGUACGUACAAGCAGUGGGAGCACCUUCGGGUGUGACUGCGUACCUUUUGUAUAAUGGGUCAGCGACUUAUAUUCUGUAGCAAGGUUAACCGUAUAGGGGAGCCGCAGGGAAACCGAGUCUUAACUGGGCGUUAAGUUGCAGGGUAUAGACCCGAAACCCGGUGAUCUAGCCAUGGGCAGGUUGAAGGUUGGGUAACACUAACUGGAGGACCGAACCGACUAAUGUUGAAAAAUUAGCGGAUGACUUGUGGCUGGGGGUGAAAGGCCAAUCAAACCGGGAGAUAGCUGGUUCUCCCCGAAAGCUAUUUAGGUAGCGCCUCGUGAAUUCAUCUUCGGGGGUAGAGCACUGUUUCGGCUAGGGGGUCAUCCCGACUUACCAACCCGAUGCAAACUACGAAUACCGAAGAAUGUUAUCACGGGAGACACACGGCGGGUGCUAACGUCCGUCGUGAAGAGGGAAACAACCCAGACCGCCAGCUAAGGUCCCAAAGUCAUGGUUAAGUGGGAAACGAUGUGGGAAGGCACAGACAGCCAGGAUGUUGGCUUAGAAGCAGCCAUCAUUUAAAGAAAGCGUAAUAGCUCACUGGUCGAGUCGGCCUGCGCGGAAGAUGUAACGGGGCUAAACCAUGCACCGAAGCUGCGGCAGCGACACUAUGUGUUGUUGGGUAGGGGAGCGUUCUGUAAGCCUGCGAAGGUGUGCUGUGAGGCAUGCUGGAGGUAUCAGAAGUGCGAAUGCUGACAUAAGUAACGAUAAAGCGGGUGAAAAGCCCGCUCGCCGGAAGACCAAGGGUUCCUGUCCAACGUUAAUCGGGGCAGGGUGAGUCGACCCCUAAGGCGAGGCCGAAAGGCGUAGUCGAUGGGAAACAGGUUAAUAUUCCUGUACUUGGUGUUACUGCGAAGGGGGGACGGAGAAGGCUAUGUUAGCCGGGCGACGGUUGUCCCGGUUUAAGCAUGUAGGCUGGUUGUCCAGGCAAAUCCGGAUAAUCAAGGCUGAGGUGUGAUGACGAGGCACUACGGUGCUGAAGUAACAAAUGCCCUGCUUCCAGGAAAAGCCUCUAAGCAUCAGGUAACAUUAAAUCGUACCCCAAACCGACACAGGUGGUCAGGUAGAGAAUACCAAGGCGCUUGAGAGAACUCGGGUGAAGGAACUAGGCAAAAUGGUGCCGUAACUUCGGGAGAAGGCACGCUGGUGUGUAGGUGAAGUCCCUGCGGAUGGAGCUGAGACCAGUCGAAGAUACCAGCUGGCUGCAACUGUUUAUUAAAAACACAGCACUGUGCAAACACGAAAGUGGACGUAUACGGUGUGACGCCUGCCCGGUGCCGGAAGGUUAAUUGAUGGGGUUAUCCGUAAGGAGAAGCUCUUGAUCGAAGCCCCGGUAAACGGCGGCCGUAACUAUAACGGUCCUAAGGUAGCGAAAUUCCUUGUCGGGUAAGUUCCGACCUGCACGAAUGGCGUAAUGAUGGCCAGGCUGUCUCCACCCGAGACUCAGUGAAAUUGAACUCGCUGUGAAGAUGCAGUGUACCCGCGGCAAGACGGAAAGACCCCGUGAACCUUUACUAUAGCUUGACACUGAACAUUGAGCCUUGAUGUGUAGGAUAGGUGGGAGGCUUUGAAGCGUGGACGCCAGUCUGCGUGGAGCCAACCUUGAAAUACCACCCUUUAAUGUUUGAUGUUCUAACGUUGGCCCCUUACCGGGGUUGCGGACAGUGUCUGGUGGGUAGUUUGACUGGGGCGGUCUCCUCCCAAAGCGUAACGGAGGAGCACGAAGGUUAGCUAAUCCUGGUCGGACAUCAGGAGGUUAGUGCAAUGGCAUAAGCUAGCUUGACUGCGAGCGUGACGGCGCGAGCAGGUGCGAAAGCAGGUCAUAGUGAUCCGGUGGUUCUGAAUGGAAGGGCCAUCGCUCAACGGAUAAAAGGUACUCCGGGGAUAACAGGCUGAUACCGCCCAAGAGUUCAUAUCGACGGCGGUGUUUGGCACCUCGAUGUCGGCUCAUCACAUCCUGGGGCUGAAGUAGGUCCCAAGGGUAUGGCUGUUCGCCAUUUAAAGUGGUACGCGAGCUGGGUUUAGAACGUCGUGAGACAGUUCGGUCCCUAUCUGCCGUGGGCGCUGGAGAAUUGAGGGGGGCUGCUCCUAGUACGAGAGGACCGGAGUGGACGCAUCACUGGUGUUCGGGUUGUCAUGCCAAUGGCACUGCCCGGUAGCUAAAUGCGGAAGAGAUAAGUGCUGAAAGCAUCUAAGCACGAAACUUGCCCCGAGAUGAGUUCUCCCUGAGACUUUAAGUCUCCUGAAGGAACGUUGAAGACGACGACGUUGAUAGGCCGGGUGUGUAAGCGCAGCGAUGCGUUGAGCUAACCGGUACUAAUGAACCGUGAGGCUUAACCUU